ensembl:lncRNA
GCCCGGGUGAAGGUGCCCGUGGCUCGGAUGACGCUGCUGUAUUCAGUCCAGGCCAGGGAGGGCCAGGCCAACUCGUCAUCCGGUGACCGCCUCAGCUGCCCGAGGGACAGGAGGGACGCCCGCCUCCGCUGUGUCGCCAGGCCCGGUGUCGCCAAGCCUGCUGGCUGUGCUGUGGUCCCAGAAUAUACCCACGAGGAUCAAACCCAGACUCUCCACGUUGGGAGCACAGAGUCCCAGCCACCACCAGAGAAGGACCACCGGAGAAUCUCUUCAUGGGCACUUGAGGUACUGGCCCGGACCGCAGUUCUCGUGACGCCCCACCACGCCGGCAGACGCCCUAACACCACGUCUUUACGCCGUCACUGCACACCCAGAUGACGACUACCCGAGAGAUGGACAGCUGUCCCAGGUGACUCAAUCCGGUUCUUCCUCCCCAGAAUUUGAGAGUGGGUCAGACUGGG